rnacentral:piRNA from 1 species
UAUUCUGUUAAAGUAACUGUCUGAUUGGC